rnacentral:rRNA from 1 species
AAUGAACGCUGGCGGUGUGCCUAACACAUGCAAGUCGAACGGCAGCACAGUAAGAGCUUGCUCUUACGGGUGGCGGGUGGCGUACGUGUGAGGAAUACAUCGGAAUCUACUUUUUCGUGGGGGAUAACGUAGGGAAACUUACGCUAAUACCGCAUACGACCUACGGGUGAAAGCAGGGGAUCUUCGGACCUUGCGCGAUUGAAUGAGCCGAUGUCGGAUUAGCUAGUUGGCGGGGUAAAUGCCCACCAAGGCGACGAUCCGUAGCUGGUCUGAGAGGAGGAUCAGCCACGCUGGAACUGAGACACGGUCCAGAGUCCUACGGGAGGCAGCAGUGGGGAAUAUUGGACAAUGGGCGCAAGCCUGAUCCAGCCAUACCGCGUGGGUGAAGAAGGCCCUCGGGUUGUAAAGCCGUUUUGUUGGGAAAGAAAAGCAGCAGGUUAAUACCCCGCUGUUCUGACGGUACCCAAAGAAUAAGCACCGGCUAACUUCGUG